rnacentral:lncRNA from 1 species
CGGACGUUUACGGGGAUUGGUCGUUAUCAUCUGAUUUUGACAUAUAUAUGGAUUUUGAUGAAUUUUUGUGGUUAUGUAUAUUAAGUAUAUUUUUUGUCUGUCUGAUUGACACUUUCUUGUUUUUGAAAAAUUUGUUCAAGAAUGGAAAUAUGCAGACGUGGAAAGAUAUGCAGAAAAUUGAGACAAGUUAUGUAAGGUCUAGAACAGUUCACACAAAGAAACAAGAUGAUUUAUACUAUGAGUAUGGGUAGUUUUUAAUCAAUGUCAUGCUAUGAGUGUAACAGAAGUAACAUAAUAAUAUGCAAGGAAUAUAGAUGCUAGGAGAGUAUAUUAUAUUUAUUGAUGUGGAUAUAAGCCCAACUAUAAAGUUAGGACAGAGAAACCUGUUCUAUUAAUUGUCCCUCCAGACUGAUUUGCAAACUGAGAGAUCAAGGACAGGUUUCUGUCAGUUAUGUAUUGGAAAACACAUGCUGGACAUAAAGAAUUAAGAACCAUGCAUAUGUCAAAAAUAGAAGAAAAAAUUGUUGUAGAGAAAUUAUGACUGAGGUGCCACCCAGUAGAAUUUUAUAAGAUUCAAGAAUGUGUAGAUACAUGAGCAAUUUCAGAUGAUGCUGCAAGGUGUUUGGGAGAAAAUAAAAAGAAACUGAGUAAACAUUGAAUUUGAUAUUAAGAUAGUUUUUUAGCUCACAAAUAUUUUUUGUUUUGUAUCUGUAUUAAAUUUUUAUUAUACAGUAGGUACUUAGCACCCCAAUUAUCCGUACUCCUUGGGACCGGAUUGUGGCACGGGUAAUUGAAAAGCACAGAUAAUCCGAUCAUUAAUUUCUUAUAUAUGAUUCAUAUAAGAAUAUUUCAUAAGAAUUUCUUAUACAUGAUAUGUACUUAC